UAGGGAAUCUUCGGCAAUGGACGGAAGUCUGACCGAGCAACGCCGCGUGAGUGAAGAAGGUUUUCGGAUCGUAAAGCUCUGUUGUAAGAGAAGAACGAGUGUGAGAGUAGAAAGUUCACACUGUGACGGUAUCUUACCAGAAAGGGACGGCUAACUACGUGCCAGCAGCCGCGGUAAUACGUAGGUCCCGAGCGUUGUCCGGAUUUAUUGGGCGUAAAGCGAGCGCAGGCGGUUAGAUAAGUCUGAAGUUAAAGGCUGUGGCUUAACCAUAGUAGGCUUUGGAAACUGUUUAACUUGAGUGCAAGAGGGGAGAGUGGAAUUCCAUGUGUAGCGGUGAAAUGCGUAGAUAUAUGGAGGAACACCGGUGGCGAAAGCGGCUCUCUGGCUUGUAACUGACGCUGAGGCUCGAAAGCGUGGGGAGCAAACAGGAUUAGAUACCCUGGUAGUCCACGCUGUAAACGAUGAGUGCUAGGUGUUAGACCCUUUCCGGGGUUUAGUGCCGUAGCUAACGCAUUAAGCACUCCGCCUGGGGAGUACGACCGCAAGGUU
rnacentral:rRNA from 1 species